rnacentral:misc_RNA from 1 species
ACGGUAACUUCGUGGGAAAGUUUGAACCAGUCAAAUUUUUUUUUCAGCGAAAUAUUCUAUUAGAUUGGUAAAUUCAUCAAGACUAAUACAUAGAGUAUGUUUUAUUCUAAGGCAGGGAGAGGUGGAGAUAGCAGCAGCAGCAGCACACAAAGAUCCUUCCAUACUGCAAACAGUAGCUUAGAAUCUGAAGAUGAGAUCAGAACCAUCAUUGCCUCUUCGUCAGACACAUCAGAGAUACCAUCACUAGUACUAGGUCAAAGGUCAUACUCAUCUGGAUGGCUGCAGUCAUCAAGUACAGGCAAAGAAGAUUAUGAAAGUCAUUAUUCAACAGCAAAGUCUUCAUUUGAUUCCAGUUAUAGAUCAGAUACAUUCUACACCGCUACAACUCAUAGUGAAAGAAAUUAUAGCUCCUCUUUGUACAGCAGUGAAUUUGAAUCAGAUGGAUCAUUGGCCACAGAUAACAUUGUGAACCAUGACUUUAAGAAUGAGAAGGAAGCUGAGAGAUGUUUCUUGAAAGCCAAGCUUAAACUACUGAAAAGAGAGAAAGAAGAGGUCAACGUCGAACAAGAAAGGGCUGAAGAAUUAGCACCAGAGCAAAACAAGUUUGUCAAAAUGCAGAUUUUGAAUCUACUACACAAACAAAAGAAAGCUUUAGAGCCUUCAAGAAACUCGGACAAGAUGAAAGAGAAGAAAAGAUCAAAGCAAAAGAGACUUGUUUCUCCUCCAUUGAUGCUAAAUGGAAAGGUUGAGGAACUGAAGAUUCAAAAUUUGUUACAUAAAAUGAAAAGGGCAUCUGAAGCCCCAGUCCAUGAUGUUGAUCAAUGUGAGAACUGCAGGAAAGCAAAAGAGUUGGUUGUUGAAAGAGAAUUCGUAAAGACAAAACACAGACAUGUCUACAACCAACUAACAGAAGAGAGAUAUAGGCAACAUAUCAUUAACCAUGAUCCGCUCAGUGAGAUUGGUAAUUUAGCAUCUGCAUUGCCGAAACUCAGCAGUGAUCCACAGAAGGUUUGGGAACAGCUCAUCAACAACGGUAUUACAUAAAACCAUCAUAGUUGAAAACCCCAAAAUACCUCCUUAACAAAUUGUUUAUGUUUACUGCAAAAUAGUCUAAAAUGCAGUUAUUUUUUUUGUAUGUUUAGGGACCCGUUGCAUAAACUUUUGCCAUAAAAAUCUGAAUAUAACUUUCAACGGCAUAAUUUGUUUACCAGAGUUUUUUAUGGCAAAAGUUUUAAGCAACGGAUUCCAGUAGUCUAAAAUACAGUAAUGUUUAUUUCUAUUAAGUUUGUUGGCAGUCACAUAUUUCCCAGCAAAUAAUUAUGUGAAGAGAUGCAUAAUGAUUAGGGCUAUUAACUGUAUGAGGAAAAUAUCUUCAGUAGAUAAUUUUGGCUCCAUGAUAUAUCACUUAUUAUUACCUACAAGGCAUUUUGGGAGAUAAAUAAAAUCAUAUUUCGCUCGCUACUUCCAAUCCGAGACCAACGAGUUAAACAUUUGCCAUUGCCCUCCCUGGAACCAAUGCGUUGUAGAUUUCUUCACAUUAAGUGUAUGUGCACACCGUGCGUGAUGCUCGACUGCAAGGUAACAAUUUACAUCACAAUUGCUUAUUAAGGGUUACUUGGCUAAGUUUGUGAAUUACCUGAAUUCAGAGGUAGUGAUUAGCAAACAGGCCUAUAAAUCGAUAGCUUGAAUUACACAUUAUACAGCCAUAGUUAAUAUUAUGUAAUUGUCCUAGUCAAUCUGCAAGGCAAUGACUUUCGUUACGACAAGAUUCUUUGCAAUUACUAUUCUGAAGGUUCUUGAGUUUCCAUCCACAUUAUAUUUGGAGAUUAUUUAAAUUAUGUUUUUUCUGCCAUGUUUGAGAAAGAGAUUUUGAUCCAAAUUCCCUUUCAACAUUCCAUGACUUUCUUUGAGGAAUUUAUUCCUGAUCAGGACUAAAUUCAUUUCUUUGUAUUUUUGUAUUUACUACAUAAUACAGUUCUGUCAUACUUUUUUUAAUCACUUUUGCAAGAAAAGAAGAAAGGCAAUCUGAACUAUCAUUCUCUUUGCAACCAAAACCUUGAGGCCCAGCUGGUUAUAGUUUCUGUAGGGAUCCGAUGAUACUGCGUGAUGCAAAGAUUUCUGGCUGACAGACCAACAAAAACCUCAAGGACAUAUAACAUAUAAAGUAGAGGCAUUUGCCUUCUCAAGGACCCUGUAUAAAAUUACAUCAUUGUGACAUGCGAGAUUCUCAAGAUUAUCUUAUUUUAGAUGGAGCUUAUCCUUUUUAUAUUUUAAUUUCACCUCCUUCAUCAGGUUAGGUAAGAGUAAGUUAAAAGAGCUCACCUUUUCAUCUUGUACAUCUGUCUCUGCAAUAAUUUUUGUGGCUUGACUAGAUAAGAAAGCCCUAACUGAAUGCAUUUGUCCAUAUUCAAGCUUCUUACAUUUAGUUUUGAUAUACAGCUGAUGAACUAAAAAGAUGGAUGCUUUGUUGAAGCAUGGAGGGUGGUCUUUGGAGCUGAUUUAUUGACUACAGCCUUCAAAAAAUAUCUUUAAAAAACCCUGCUCGUCAAUUGAUGCUCAUCAUAUUGAAACUUCUUAAAUCAAACUUGUAUUGUGCAAAAACUUGUCUAAAUUCCCACUACAGACAAGAAAUUCUUCCUUUGAGAAUGUUAAAGAGGUCAUCUGGUGACCAAAGAGUCUUGUAAGUGUCAUCAUUCAUUUUACAAAUAAUGUUGCCAUUCUUUGUGGACACACUCUUUACAGUGUUCGCCUUCUUUGCUGCCAUGAGGAUGGAGUACCUGACUGUUGUAAGGUACUCGUUUAUAAAGACACCUUUACGGGCAUCUUUCCCUUUUAAUUUAAAUCUGCUGUCACACAGUUUGUUUCUUUUCUUCAUUGUCGUGAACCUCAUGAUAACUUGGCUUGGUCUGCCUUGGCUUAUGGUUGGGAAUCCCAGGCGAUGACAGGUAGAGAUAUCGCCUUCUAAAAUCUUGACACCUGCUGUAUCUGCCACCAUGACCAUCUUUCUUGUAGCCAAACGGCACGCGCUUACACUCAAACCAAAUGGGAUUCUAAAAGCAGUCUUAUGCUUAAAUGCCUCAUCCAUAAUAACUUGGUAAUACCCAUAGGCACCCUUCAAAGAUUCUAAAAAUUCUUUGAUUCUAGGUAAUGAGAAUGAAUCACGAAUGGUUUUAGAAUGCAGCUUGCAGUAGUCUAUACACAUUCGUAAUGAACCAUCCUUCCUUUUAACCAACACUAUUGGACUAGCAGAGGGCUAAUACUUAUCUGCAUCUUUAUCCUUAUUAUCAAUAGGAGUGUCUAUAAAAAAAUUUAAGAUGUUAACACCAAUGAUUACAGGUGUUGUUGCCAUUCCCCGUUUGAAAUCUUGUUUUACGAAGAAAGAAAGAUGAGAAAAUGUCCUUAGAAACUUCAAAAUCUUGUAAAGGAAUUUGUACAUUACCAACAAUUGGAAGUUCAGUUCCAUUUAUGUCUACAAUUUGUAAAUUCAUGAGUAUCUAAAUGGAGUAACAUGGAUCUUGUGAGCAAGAAAUCUGUUAAAGUAUACUUCACUAAUUAAUGAAGUCUCUGUACCAGUCUCUAAAAGACACGAGGUUGGGGUUUCAAAUAAAUCAAUCAAUACCUUUGGGCUUUUACCAACCAAAUUUUCCCAAAUAUCCACGCCCUGAAUGCCAAGUAAAGCCUGGGCCGUAGCCUGGAUAUUCUCAUCUUUCCUCACCUGACCUACAACAGUGGGGGAGGUAGCCGUUUCCCAGGCCUUUGCCUCCCAUUCAUUAAAAAAACUGCCUAUAGCCCAGACAAUCUAUGGAAAUAUGUCCUGCCUCCUGACACUUAUAGCAAAUUAUAGAUGGACAUGUUCGUGUUGAAUGACUAGUUUCUUUACAAUUUCCACAAACCUUAGUUUUAUUAGUUUAAACUAAUAUGUCUACGGUAUUCUGAAUCUUAUCAAGUGUAGAGAGCAGCAUGGAAUCAGUGGCUGGCUAAUUGUGAGAACACUUGCUCGAGUCUGUGCCUCUAAAACAUAUCAAACCUCUAUUUCCUGGACUGCUCAUCUAGAGCUCAAGGAAUCUAAUUCCCUUAGUAACUGAUGAGCCUCUUCCAUUUCUUCAAAUGUGUCUACUGUGUGAGAGAGUUGUAAACAUUUAAUUUCUAAUCUUACUGACACACACCGCGCACCAGCUACGAACUGGAAAAUGAGAGCCUCUUCUGUAAGUCCCCACAGAGAGGAAGUUUGAGUUGCAUUCCUAACUUUAUUGCCGUAUACAGGAAAAUGAUGUAAAUCGUGAAACUGAUAUGAUCAAGUCAAGAAAUCUUAAGUAUUUUUUGGUCACGUCGGGAUCACCAGUUUGAUAACAUGGCGCAUAAGUGCACCCUAAUUCAAAAAUUUUAUACCAACUCCAAAAGCAUGCAUUAACUUGCUGCAAUUUUGUAGCCAUUUUUGCAUCCGGUUUGUAUCUGUUUUGGAGCCAUUUAUCGUCUUAGACUUCUCUAAAAAGAGAGAAAAAAGCGGGUGGCUGAAGAGGAUUUGCUCACUCCGCUUGCCUGUCCCUGGAAUGACUACUUCCAUCAUGCCUGUUUUAUUUGUUGACCUGUGAAUAACCAGCACCCUUUUGGAUUGUAGGAUUUGAUAGUUUUUGUCUAUCAAAUUAUUAUAGUGCAUACACCAUUCCUCUAGAGAAAACUCAUGUCAUGCCAUCGUCUUGAAAUCAGAUCCGAUUUCAAAACCUGUUUUAUUUGUUGACCUGUGAAUAACCAGCACCCUUUUGGAUUGUAGGAUUUGAUAGUUUUUGUCUAUCAAAUUAUUAUAGUGCAUACACCAUUCCUCUAGAGAAAACUCAUGUCGUAACAUCGCUUUGAAAUCAGAUCCGAAGGUAAUACAAAAAAUUAGUACACAACUCAACUGGUCUAUCGUUUGGUCUAGCAAGUGAAUCGAUCAGUGAAAAAAGUCAGAUGUGUAACACCCUGGUAAUGCUAUUGUACCAAGGAACAAGGAAUACUAUUUCCUCGAGACUCUAUCCUGGAAUAUUAAAUCCAAGUGAAAGAACAUGAUGCCAAAACACGAGAUAUGCUUAAUAACUGUAUGAAACCGCCAUCAUAAAACAAUAUCAGAUAUAUGCCAGAGGAUACCUUCAUAACAAGAUAUUUAUAUUUCUGCUUAUCCAUAUAUCGACCAAUAAGUCCAACUGCCUAUGCAACUCUUUUUAGGCUAAAUAUAAACAAAUAACAUAAUGUAUUAGUAUACAUGCAGGAGAAAUGCCAGUAGGAAACGAAAGGUAAAGGAAAGAGAAGUAUAGAGAAUAAAAUGAUUGAUGUAAUCAACAAUGAGAAUUCUUUGUCCAUCUCCUUGUUAUCACAAUACGAGUCAGUGCUGCUUAAAUAUUAAAUAUUGGAGGCGGAUUUGCAUUUUUUUUUUAAUAAUGUUAUCAUACCACUGCAAUCCUUUGGUAAUUAUCAAUCAAGUUAAGUCAGGAAGGUAUAUUAGAAACGUGAACUGGUUUGAUGUUUCUGGAUUUCAUCACAGUAGCCAU